rnacentral:rRNA from 1 species
CGCGUAGGCGGCUCUGUAAGUCAGGUGUGAAAGCCCCAGGCUCAACCUGGGAACGGCAUUUGAUACUGCAGAGCUAGAGGUCGAGAGAGGAAAGUGGAAUUACGAGUGUAGAAGUGAAAUUCGUAGAUAUUCGUAGGAACACCAGUGGCGAAGGCGGCUUUCUGGCUCGAAUCUGACGCUAAAGCGCGAAAGCGUGGGGAGCAAACA